UACGAAGGGUGCAAGCGUUACUCGGAAUUACUGGGCGUAAAGCGUGCGUAGGUGGUUUGUUAAGUCUGAUGUGAAAGCCCUGGGCUCAACCUGGGAAUUGCAUUGGAUACUGGCAGGCUAGAGUGCGGUAGAGGAUGGCGGAAUUCCCGGUGUAGCAGUGAAAUGCGCAGAUAUCAGGAAGAACACCCGUGGCUAAGGCGGUUCUCUAGUACGGUACUGACGCUGAGACGCGAAAGCGUGGGGAGCGAACAGG
rnacentral:rRNA from 1 species